rnacentral:rRNA from 1 species
AUUGAACGCUGGCGGCAGGCCUAACACAUGCAAGUCGAGCGGAGCGGCGGACGGGUGAGUAAUGCUAAGGAAUUUGCUUGGUAGUGGGGGAUAACGUCCGGAACCGGGCGUUAUUCCGGCAUACAACAAGUGGAGCUUGGGCCGGAUUAGCUAGUUGGUGGGGUAAAGGCCUACCAAGGCGACGAUCCGUAACUGGUCUGAGAGGAUGAUCAGUCACACUGGAACUGAGACACGGUCCAGACUCCUACGGGAGGCAGCAGUGGGGAAUAUUGGACAAUGGGCGAAAGCCUGAUCCAGCCAUGCCGCGUGUGUGAAGAAGGUCUUCGGAUUGUAAAGCACUUUAAGUUGGGAGGCGUUACCAACAGAAUAAGCACCGGCUAACUUCGUGCCAGCAGCCGCGGUAAUAC